GACAGAGGGUGCAAACGUUGUCCGGAUUCAUUGGGCGUAAAGAGCUCGUAGGCGGCUUGGCAAGUCGGAUGUGAAAACUCCAGGCUCAACCUGGAGACGCCACUCGAUACUGCCAUGGCUAGAGUCCGGUAGGGGGCCACGGAAUUCCUGGUGUAGCGGUGAAAUGCGCAGAUAUCAGGAGGAACACCGGUGGCGAAGGCGGUGGUCUGGGCCGGCACUGACGCUGAGGAGCGAAAGCGUGGGUAGCAAACAGG
rnacentral:rRNA from 1 species